rnacentral:rRNA from 1 species
GACGAACGCUGGCGGCGUGCUUAACACAUGCAAGUCGAACGGAAAGGCCCUGCUUGCAGGGUACUCGAGUGGCGAACGGGUGAGUAACACGUGGGUGAUCUGCCCUGCACUUCGGGAUAAGCCUGGGAAACUGGGUCUAAUACCGGAUAGGAGCCAUUUUUAGUGUGAUGGUUGGAAAGUUUUUUCGGUGUAGGAUGAGCUCGCGGCCUAUCAGCUUGUUGGUGGGGUAAUGGCCUACCAAGGCGGCGACGGGUAGCCGGCCUGAGAGGGUGGACGGCCACAUUGGGACUGAGAUACGGCCCAGACUCCUACGGGAGGCAGCAGUGGGGAAUAUUGCACAAUGGGCGCAAGCCUGAUGCAGCGACGCCGCGUGGGGAUGACGGCCUUCGGGUUGUAAACUCCUUUCGCUAGGGACGAAGCUUUUUGUGACGGUACCUAGAGAAGAAGCACCGGCUAACUACGUG